AGAGUUUGAUCCUGGCUCAGGACGAACGCUGGCGGCGUGCUUAACACAUGCAAGUCGAACGGUAAGGCCCUUCGGGGUACACGAGUGGCGAACGGGUGAGUAACACGUGGGUAAUCUGCCCUGCACAUCGGGAUAAGCCUGGGAAACUGGGUCUAAUACCGAAUAGGACCACAGAACACAUGUCCUGUGGUGGAAAGCUUUUGCGGUGUGGGAUGGGCCCGCGGCCUAUCAGCUUGUUGGUGGGGUGACGGCCUACCAAGGCGACGACGGGUAGCCGGCCUGAGAGGGUGUCCGGCCACACUGGGACUGAGAUACGGCCCAGACUCCUACGGGAGGCAGCAGAAGGG
rnacentral:rRNA from 1 species